UACGUAGGCAGCAAGCGUUGUUCGGAGUUACUGGGCGUAAAGGGUGUGUAGGCGGUUGGAUAAGUGUGGUGUGAAAUCUCCCGGCUUAACUGGGAGGGUGCGCUACAAAACUGUCUGACUAGAGUGUGGGAUGGGUAAGUGGAAUUCCUGGUGUAGCGGUGAAAUGCGUAGAUAUCAGGAGGAACACCGGUGGUGUAGACGGCUUCUGGACCAUACUGACGUGAGACACGAAAAGCGUGGGGUAGCAAACGG
rnacentral:rRNA from 1 species